GACGAACGCUGGCGGCGUGCUUAACACAUGCAAGUCGAACGGAAAGGCCCUGCUUUUGUGGGGUGCUCGAGUGGCGAACGGGUGAGUAACACGUGUGUAACCUGCCCUUGACUUUGGGAUAACUUUAGGAAACUGGGGCUAAUACCGGAUAGGAGCUCCUGCUGCAUGGGGGGGGUUGGAAAGUUUCGGCGGUUGGGGAUGGACUCGCGGCUUAUCAGUUUGUUGGUGGGGAAGUGGCUUACCAAGGCAUUGACGGGUAGCCGGCCUGAGAGGGUGACCGGCCACAUUGGGACUGGGGUAGGGCCCAGACUCCUACGGGAGGCAGCAGUGGGGAAUAUUGCACAAUGGGCGGAAGCCUGAUGCAGCAACGCCGCGUGCGGGAUGACGGCCUUCGGGUUGUAAACCGCUUUCGCCUGUGACGAAGCGUGAGUGACGGUAAUGGGUAAAGAAGCACCGGCUAACUACGUG
rnacentral:rRNA from 1 species